GACGGAGGAUGCAAGCGUUAUCCGGAAUGAUUGGGCGUAAAGCGUCCGCAGGUGGCAGUUCAAGUCUGCUGUCAAAGACCGGGGCUUAACUUCGGAAAGGCAGUGGAAACUGAACAGCUAGAGUAUGGUAGGGGCAGAGGGAAUUCCUGGUGUAGCGGUGAAAUGCGUAGAGAUCCGGAAGAACACCAGUGGCGAAGGCGGUUAGCUGGGCAGUUGCUGACACUGAUGCGCGACAGCGUGGGGAGCAAACAGG
rnacentral:rRNA from 1 species